CAGCCGCCACGGUAAUACAGAGGGUGCGAGCGUUAAUCGGAUUUACUGGGCGUAAAGCGUGCGUAGGCGGCUUUUUAAGUCGGAUGUGAAAUCCCUGAGCUUAACUUAGGAAUUGCAUUCGAUACUGGGAAGCUAGAGUAUGGGAGAGGAUGGUAGAAUUCCAGGUGUAGCGGUGAAAUGCGUAGAGAUCUGGAGGAAUACCGAUGGCGAAGGCAGCCAUCUGGCCUAAUACUGACGCUGAGGUACGAAAGCAUGGGGAGCAAACAGGAUUAGAUACCCCUGUAGUCCCUGUCUCUUAUAA
rnacentral:rRNA from 1 species